rnacentral:misc_RNA from 1 species
UUUUUUCCUCGUACGGCGAGCUCGAGGAGGCCAUCGUAAUCUUCGACAAGAACACAGGAAAAUCUAAGGGAUUUGGGUUCAUCACUUUUAAACACGUGGACGGUGCCUUAGUUGCGUUGAAGGAACCCAGCAAGAAAAUUGACGGCCGGAUGACCGUUACCCAGUUGGCCUCUGCCGGGCUAUCUAAUAGUGGGGCUAAUGGUGGUGAUGUUUCGUCGAGGAAGAUUUAUGUUGGGAAUGUGCCGUAUGAUAUACCAUCAGAGAGAUUGUUAGGGUUUUUCUUGGCUUAUGGAGAGAUUGAAGAGGGACCGCUAGGGUUUGAUAAGGCGACUGGUAAAUCAAAGGGCUUUGCUUUUAUCAUAUACAAGACUGAGGAGGCGGCAAAGGCGGCCAUUGCUGAGCCUAUGAAGAUUAUAGAUGGCCAUCAAGUUCUUUGUAAGAUGGCUGUGGUCAAUAAGAAGGUUAAAGCUCAAGGUGGUAUGGGC